AUUGAACGCUGGCGGCAGGCCUAACACAUGCAAGUCGAACGGUAACAGGAAGCAGCUUGCUGCUUCGCUGACGAGUGGCGGACGGGUGAGUAAUGUCUGGGAAGCUGCCUGAUGGAGGGGGAUAACUACUGGAAACGGUAGCUAAUACCGCAUAAUGUCGCAAGACCAAAGAGGGGGACCUUCGGGCCUCUUGCCAUCGGAUGUGCCCAGAUGGGAUUAGCUUGUUGGUGGGGUAACGGCUCACCAAGGCUACGAGUCCUAGCUGGUCUGAGAGGAUGACCAGCCACUCUGGAACCGAGACACGGUCCAGACUCCUACGGGAGGCAGCAGUGGGGAAUAUUGCACAAUAGGCGCAAGCCUGAUGCAGCCAUGCCGCGUGUAUGAAGAAGGCCUUCGGGUUGUAAAGUACUUUCAGCGGGGAGGAAGGGAGUAAAGUUAAUACCUUUGCUCAUUGACGUUACCCGCAGAAGAAGCACCGGCUAACUCCGUG
rnacentral:rRNA from 1 species